rnacentral:lncRNA from 1 species
AUGGUAAAAUUCAUAACCUGGCAAAAGGGAAAAUAUUCACAUAAUUCUCUCGGCAAGAAACCAAAUCAAACUAUUCUUUUUAAUUGCAGGUUGUUGAUAUUUGUGGAAGCUGCUAAAGAUGGAAAAGUGCAUCUGGUCACUUGGGAAGGCAAACACUGCACAGCUGUUCCUCCUACAGCUGCUAGGGUGCUGCUCCAGGGUGCACUUUCAAACUCCCAAAUAUCUAUGCAGACACACACAUAUGAGCCUUCCAAGGCAUGCAAAUCUCUGCCAUCCAUUCUUCUGUGGUAUCACCUCUGCCAGACAAGUCAACUGCAAGGGAAAGCCAAGGAGCAGGACUCAGGAAACCCCCUUCUUUCAUAUUUGCUUAUGAUAAUGAAUUGA